UACAGAGGUGGCAAGCGUUGUUCGGAAUUACUGGGCGUAAAGGGCGCGUAGGCGGCCUUCUAAGUCAGACGUGAAAUCCCCCGGCUUAACCUGGGAACUGCGUCUGAUACUGGGAGGCUCGAGUAUGGGAGAGGGAUGUAGAAUUCCAGGUGUAGCGGUGAAAUGCGUAGAUAUCUGGAGGAAUACCGGUGGCGAAGGCGGCAUCCUGGACCAUAACUGACGCUGAGGCGCGAAAGCUAGGGGAGCAAACGGGG
rnacentral:rRNA from 1 species